GUCUAUGGCCAUACCACCCUGGACGCGCCCGAUCUCGUCUGAUCUCGGAAGCUAAGCAAGGUCGGGCCUGGUUAGUACUUGGAUGUGUGCUUUGGGGGAGUGAGGGCAGUAGUGA
rnacentral:rRNA from 1 species